rnacentral:misc_RNA from 1 species
AAGGAGUCUAACAUAUAUGCGAGUGUGUGGAUAGUAAGUCCAUAUGCGAAAUGAAAGUGAUCAUAGCGAGUGCGCCUUCGAGUGUAUGCAGCUGUGGCCGACCUUGAUCCUCGGUGACAGGUUUGAGUAUGAGCAUAUAUGUUGGGACCCGAAAGAUGGUGAACUAUGCCUGCAUAGGGCGAAGCCAGAGGAAACUCUGGUGGAGGCUCGUAGCGAUUCUGACGUGCAAAUCGAUCGUCAAAUGUGGGUAUAGGGGCGAAAGACUAAUCGAACCAUCUAGUAGCUGGUUCCUGC